rfam:Danio rerio chromosome 21, GRCz11 reference primary assembly.
UAAAAGGUUCUUCUUGGAACCAUAAAUUUCAGUAACUUUUAUUUCU